AACUUUCAACAAAGGAUCUCUUGGCUCUUGCAUCGAUGAAGAACGUAGCGAAGCGCGAAAUGUAGUGUGAAUCGCAGAACACUGUGAAUCAUCGAAUCUUUGAACGCACAUUGCGCCUCUCUUUCGAGGGGCAUGCCUGUCUGAGCGUCAUUU
rnacentral:rRNA from 1 species